ACACAUGCAAGUCGAACGAUGAUGGGAGCUUGCUCCUGGAUUAGUGGCGAACGGGUGAGUAACACGUGAGUAACCUGCUCUUAACUCUGGGAUAAGCCUGGGAAACUGGGUCUAAUACCGGAUAUGACUCCUCAUCGCAUGGUGGGGGGUGGAAAGCCUUUUUGUGGUUUUGGAUGGACUCGCGGCCUAUCAGCUUGUUGGUGAGGUAAUGGCUUACCAAGGCGACGACGGGUAGCCGGCCUGAGAGGGUGACCGGCCACACUGGGACUGAGACACGGCCCAGACUCCUACGGGAGGCAGCAGUGGGGAAUAUUGCACAAUGGGCGCAAGCCUGAUGCAGCGACGCCGCGUGAGGGAUGACGGCCUUCGGGUUGUAAACCUCUUUCAGUAGGGAAGAAGCGAAAGUGACGGUACCUGCAGAAGAAGCGCCGGCUAACUACGUGCCAGCAGCCGCGGUAAUACGUAGGGCGCAAGCGUUAUCCGGAAUUAUUGGGCGUAAAGAGCUCGUAGGCGGUUUGUCGCGUCUGCCGUGAAAGUCCGGGGCUCAACUCCGGAUCUGCGGUGGGUACGGGCAGACUAGAGUGAUGUAGGGGAGACUGGAAUUCCUGGUGUAGCGGUGAAAUGCGCAGAUAUCAGGCGGAACACCGAUGGCGAAGGCAGUCUCUGGGCAUUAACU
rnacentral:rRNA from 1 species